GGUGGCUUAGUGGUAGAGCGCUUAUCUUGCAUACAUGAGGCCCUGGGUUCGAUUCCUCAGCACCA
rnacentral:tRNA from 1 species